GACAGAGGGUGCAAACGUUGUUCGGAAUUACUGGGCGUAAAGCGUGUGUAGGCGGCCUUAUAAGUCGGAUGUGAAAGCCCGGGGCUCAACUCCGGAAUAGCCUUUAAGACUGCAUCGCUUGAAUCCGGGAGAGGUGAGUGGAAUUCCGAGUGUAGAGGUGAAAUUCGUAGAUAUUCGGAAGAACACCAGUGGCGAAGGCGGCUCACUGGACCGGUAUUGACGCUGAGGUGCGAAAGCGUGGGGAGCAAACAGG
rnacentral:rRNA from 1 species